AACUCAGAUGUGGUUCACUGCAUUCUCCCAGGUGAAUGGGCUCCUCUAAAAAGAUGGGAGAUGUCGGCCUCUCCAGUGCACAGCACACUCAGAAUUACAAAUCUAAGGAUCUCAUGUAUCCCUGGCUGGCUUGUAACCCACAGAGAUUCUCCUGCCUCUGCCUCCCAAGUGCCAAGUGCUAGGAUUAAAGGCGGGUACCAUCAUACUCAGCCUGCAAAACUGUUCAUAAAAACAGUCUCUAACACCUUUCUGUUGCCAAACUGAAAAUCCAUCAACAGAUGUUACAGAUUAUUCCUGUAGAGAUACAUGUGAGUGAAAUCCAGACCAAGUGAAGUUUUGCCAAGCCUAGACAGAAAGACAAUCGUGGAGUCGGGAUACGGAUGACUUUGGCUGUUGCAUGUGCUUAUGUUACCAAUACAAAUAGAUUCUAUGAUAAUACGUCUAUGAAAAUGAGGAAUCCCCAUAUUGUAGAUAGAUGCCAGACAAGAUGAGUUUCAAUCAGGUUCCAGGAAUUGGUUCUGCUUAUAUUCAUGAUUGCUGUCUAGGAAAAAGUUAGAUUUUGUGGAAUGCAGGAGUUUGAAGUUGAGGUUUCCUUGUCUUGGCAUUGGCAGAACCAUUCUGGGGCUUUCUUAGGCUAUGAAGAAUCCUACCAUACGGAUCUUCCCUGUGACCUCUUCUGCUUGGUCUCUGGAUGUCCUCUCCUCUCGUGACAUGCUUGCAUCCUAACUGCGAGUUUUUAGCUGCUCAAACUGUGGAAUCAAAUGAGAUCACCACAAAGUGGCCCCACGGAUGAAAGCACUCUUUCCACAGAAACUCACUGGCACACCAGCUAAGGGCACUAUCCAAGAUUCUUCUGAAGAAAUGCAGUCUUCCAAACAGGAGGCCAGUGACGACCAAUGACAAUCCUGCUCAGUUAGAAUUCUCUGUAGGACGCAUGGUUGGUAGUGUUGUGGCUCUCCAUAAUAAACAAAAGACUGUGAGUGUUACCUCAGUGUGAGUGCACUUAAAAUUAAAACUUUGAAUCAUGCUCUCUAAAUAAAGUUGGAGCUUUAUGUGACAAUAUCAUCCUCAUUUUACAUUCUGGGCAGCUCUCCAAGCUCUGGUUAUGUUAAUGGACAAGAAACCGAAUUGCCUUCACAUACAGGGAUAUCUACCACCUCUCCAUCAGCAGACCAGUGUCAAAGAUGUCCUGGUUAUGAGGCUUAAUAGGGAGGACCAACCUUUUCUAGUAGCCAUUUAAAUUAGCCAUACUUGUUUGCUUAGCAGAAUUUAAGUGACACUUCACUUCAUACCUAGUGAAAUACAAUGGUCUGUAACUUUUAUAGAGUCACUGAUCCUUUCUUCAUUUAUUUUAUUGUUUAAACUGACUGCAUAUGUGUGUACCUGCGUGUGGGUAUAUGCAUGUGAGUGUUGGUGCCUCUGAAAGCCAGAAGUCAAGUGCCCAGGAGAUGGAGUUAAUAGGUGCCUGGAAGUCACCCAAGAUGGAUUCGGGAAAGCAAAUUUGGAUUCUCUGGCAGAGCAGUUAUAGGCCUUUAACCACUGAGCUGUGUCUCUAGCCGCAGGAAAGAGUCGAAUGAAAGCUACAGACUCUCUACCAUAAAGAAGGGGUAAAAUGAGGACUCCUGGGCCUAGAUUGAAUGAACAUCCAAUUAGGAUCAAUCAAGAAAGACUUCAUGUCCCACAGCAGCUGAGUUCUCAGGUUAAACAAAGACUAUCUUUCAGUGGCCUCCUUAUGCAGUAAGAAUUUACUGUUCAGAUCUUUCUACAAGAUACGUCUUACUCUUUAGAUUUCUGGCCACUUAGAUUAGAGCAACCCAACCACUGAAGCCAUCUCUGUCACAUGAUGCUUGUGGGCAGAAGCCAGCACUUCUAUUCUCCUCCAAGUUGGACGCUUCCCUCAAAUCUCAGCCAGCUGAGAAAACAUCCUGAUCUGAAGUUUGUCCAGGCUGUCCUGGGUGAGGAUGGAGGCACACAGCCACUGUCCCUAGUUUGUGACAUCUCGCUCUCUGUGAGAUUGAAAGGUUUCAGUUCUUCAAAAUAAUAAAAUACCUUCAGUCACAAGGGACAGGUUUGUAGGGGAGGGGGAACAAAAACAUGCAACUGGUUAGAAGAAUUCCUUUUGGAAAAAAAAUGUCACACAUACACCAAGACAUCAGGACUUUCCGGCACCACCUUCCCCUCAGGGAUUCACAGAGAGGCAAUCAUUUUCAAAGGUGAAGAAGUGAGAUUUGCUCUCUGAGUUUGGUAUUUACCCAGUGUGGCCAGGACAGAAAGUCUUUUCUCCUCUUUGGCAUGAAUUGUUUUAAAUGUGGAAGAUGGAUGCCUACAAAAAAUACGAAGUUCUGGGAAAAAAAAAAAAAAAGAUCUGUUUUUCUGUCUCACAUACCAGCCCCGAUAUGUACUUAGCGACCAAAGAGUGUGUAAGAAAGAAUUCAGUGGACCUUGGUUUUGGGGUAAAGUUUGUGGGUGGCAGCAUCAGCUGUGUCCCCCAUCCAUCGAAGUCUAGAAAGGGUCAGAAAUGUAGGAUAUUCCUGUAGCUUCUUCCAACAUGCUUUUUAAAAAGCUAAAAGCAGUGACCUACGUGUGAGGAGCCACAGAGGAAGAGAAGAACCAUCAAGGCUACUGGCUAUCUUGUAACAGUAAACACAGCUCACGAAAUACCCAGCAAAGGAAGGGUGAUGAACCAACGUGAACAAGAGACUCUCAUGUUCCAAGUGGAUCUGAAAGUUGGGAAUUAGCUUCCUACCAAGGAAACUACCUGGUCCCCAGUAGGAAGACACACUGGAUCUUCCCUGGCUUUGAGCUGUUGAUCAGUGCUCGGAAUCAGCUAUGUAGCAUCCCUGUUCAGUUAGCCAGUACAGACAGCCUUCAGGGCGCUGGUGCUCAGGGGGAGAGCCCACGAUUAUUCAGUUGUGAAAUGACAGUCAUGUGAUUUGCUGGCACUUGGGAACAGACUCCUAACCACAGCCACGUUCCUGCUCCACUGAUGUGUAGGCACAGGAAUGUAGGAUCACACUCCUAAUAUUCCCAUGACCAGAAACAGUGAGGAUGCCAAGAGAGCUACUCAUUUGAGGGACACAUUCUCACUACCAGCUGGGAGACAUUGCCUUUGCGCUCAUCUUCUUGACCAUUAAACAGAGAGGCAUCAUUCAUUGGCAGCAAGACUAAGAAAGCAGGACAUGAGACUAGUGAGAGUGUGGAUUACCAGCUGUAACUAGUGUGAACUGACUAGAUCCAGGGACUACUAACUCAAUCACGGGGGCCUAGAAACACUAGGAAAUUAAGCUUAGACAUUCUUUCUGCUCACAGCAGUGCCCAGCACUACACAGACGGAAGCCCGGCAGACCUGACAGGCUCUUGGCUCUCACAGGGGCUGUAAUCUUAGUUGUAAUCUGUGAUGCUGGAUCAUUUAGCUUCCCUGAAUACUGUCGUAUAUUAGGACCCACAAGGGGCCUUACAUGGCAUGCCCCUUCUCCACGUCAAAACACUGGCCCGGAUUUAAGAAUCAAAUAAAAGCAUUUGCAAAAGGGUGCCUUUUAUUCAGAAUAAAGGACCUAUCCUUCGUGUGAAAUAGCCUCUUUGGCGGCCCACACAGACUUGCAGUGGACUGGUCUUCACUCAGGUAUAGAAAUGUUCAUGUUAGAUUUUGCUAAAAGACUAUGGGGCAAAGGCUACAGGAGUCCUCUGUGUCUCUCCAUCUGCCUCUUCCCAGGUACUCUUUCUGUUUUUCUGAACAUACAGAAAACUUCACUUUUACUGAAUGAGUAAGUAACAUUAAGCUACAAAGAAUGAAGAAAAUGGAAUAGGAACUUGAACAUAUAUUUUUAAAAAAACGCAUAAUUCUAGGUCCUUUUAAGAGAUAUCACACUGAAUUAAGGUUGAUUGUUUGAUUUGAUUUGAUUUCAUUUGGUUCGCUUGUUAGCUCACACUUAGAAUCCCAACACUCUUGAAGACUGAGUCAGGAGGACUGCAAGCAGUCAGUUUGAGGCCAGCCUGGGCUACAGACAGGGUUUCACUCUACCAUACCCUUGUUCCCAAAGAGUGUUAGCAUCUAGCCUAGUCAUAGCUUCUCCUGGCUUUGAACUCACAAUCCCUUGCCUCAGCCUUCCAACUGCUGGGGAUUGCAGGUGUGCAGCACCAUGGCCAGCUGAACACAGUUAAUUUCGUUAAGACUUUGAAGGGCUGCGUGGAAAUGAGCCCAUCUUCAGUCCAUGGUUGACAUUAUCAGGAGUUCUCAGCACAAAGCAAGAACACUGUUCUUGCUUGCCUUUAAAACACCUGACUAAGCACAUGGCUAUUAUAUGAAACCAUGUUUCUCAAACUCAGAACCAAAUGAGUGUGACUAGGCAUGUGACUGGGCAUGUAACUGACUAGACAUGUGACAGACUGGUCAUGUGACUGGGCAUGUGACUGUCGUGUGACUGGGCAUGUGACUGUCAUGUGACUGGGCAUGUGACUGACUGGGCAUGUGGAUGACUGACUGGGCAUGUAACUGACUGGUCAUGUGACUGUCAUGUAAAUGGUCAUGUGACUGACGGACUGGGCAUAUGACUGGGCAUGUAACUGGACAUGUGAUGUGACUAAACACACCUUUCAUUAUUCAAAUUCUAGUCACUACCUAGAACUCAAGAACUAAACAGAUACUUGUAAAUAUCUUUUUUAAAAAACCUAAAUACAUGUCUCUUCAACUUGUUUUACAAAGGAUAGCCUACUGAAAAGUGAAUUUAUAAUAUCCCUCUACAUACAUAUUUGUCAUAUACAUAUAUACACAUAUACAUUAUACACAUACAUGUACAAAUAUGUAUACACAUACACACUUAUACACAUAAACAAUCUACAUAUAUACCCAAAUGUUCAUAUACAUGUAAUAUGCUUUCUUGCCAUCCUCUAUCCAUCAUUCACUGGUGCCCAGGACGAAGAAUAUCAUCUCAUACAAAAUAACUGGAUCAUCCUCGUUUAUACGUAUAUCAGACCUAAUCCUAGCCCAAGUAUUUGAGGCUGUGGCAUGGUACUCAAGACUCAAUCAUGGUCAUGAAAGAAGAAAGAACAAACUCCUGGAGGACCAUCCCACCGUCCCUAGCAUGAAGCAUGACAAACUUUAUUUAGUGCUUUUUAACAGUGAUUAUCCCAGUCAGCUGUGUGGGCAGUAAGAGGAUCACCAUGGGUGUGUGUCAACAACAACAAAAAAAGCCACUGGGUGACAUUGGCUCAGAGUACUUGUCAUAGUAUCAAAAUAUAGUGAAUAUUUAUGGAAUAGUGCAAACAUUUUAAUAAAGUAUCAAAGGAUUCUUAGAGUGCUAUUCCUAUACUACCCCUAGAAUCCACAGCUUUACAAAAUGGUGUGUUUUAUGUUUUUGUAAUUCUCAAAGUUUUACUGUUGUUUAUUCAGAAUAAAAUCAAUUUAAAUGU
rnacentral:lncRNA from 1 species